rnacentral:rRNA from 1 species
AAAUUGAAGAGUUUGAUCAUGGCUCAGAUUGAACGCUGGCGGCAGGCCUAACACAUGCAAGUCGAACGGUAACAGGAAGCAGCUUGCUGCUUUGCUGACGAGUGGCGGACGGGUGAGUAAUGUCUGGGAAACUGCCUGAUGGAGGGGGAUAACUACUGGAAACGGUGGCUAAUACCGCAUAACGUCGCAAGACCAAAGAGGGGGACCUUCGGGCCUCUUGCCAUCAGAUGUGCCCAGAUGGGAUUAGCUUGUUGGUGAGGUAACGGCUCACCAAGGCGACGAUCCCUAGCUGGUCUGAGAGGAUGACCAGCCACACUGGAACUGAGACACGGUCCAGACUCCUACGGGAGGCAGCAGUGGGGAAUAUUGCACAAUGGGCGCAAGCCUGAUGCAGCCAUGCCGCGUGUAUGAAGAAGGCCUUCGGGUUGUAAAGUACUUUCAGCGGGGAGGAAAGUGUUGUGGUUAAUAACCACAGCAAUUGACGUUACCCGCAGAAGAAGCACCGGCUAACUCCGUGCCAGCAGCCGCGGUAAUACGGAGGGUGCAAGCGUUAAUCGGAAUUACUGGGCGUAAAGCGCACGCAGGCGGUCUGUCAAGUCGGAUGUGAAAUCCCCGGGCUCAACCUGGGAACUGCAUUCGAAACUGGCAGGCUUGAGUCUUGUAGAGGGGGGUAGAAUUCCAGGUGUAGCGGUGAAAUGCGUAGAGAUCUGGAGGAAUACCGGUGGCGAAGGCGGCCCCCUGGACAAAGACUGACGCUCAGGUGCGAAAGCGUGGGGAGCAAACAGGAUUAGAUACCCUGGUAGUCCACGCCGUAAACGAUGUCUACUUGGAGGUUGUGCCCUUGAGGCGUGGCUUCCGGAGCUAACGCGUUAAGUAGACCGCCUGGGGAGUACGGCCGCAAGGUUAAAACUCAAAUGAAUUGACGGGGGCCCGCACAAGCGGUGGAGCAUGUGGUUUAAUUCGAUGCAACGCGAAGAACCUUACCUGGUCUUGACAUCCACAGAACUUUCCAGAGAUGGAUUGGUGCCUUCGGGAACUGUGAGACAGGUGCUGCAUGGCUGUCGUCAGCUCGUGUUGUGAAAUGUUGGGUUAAGUCCCGCAACGAGCGCAACCCUUAUCCUUUGUUGCCAGCGGUUAGGCCGGGAACUCAAAGGAGACUGCCAGUGAUAAACUGGAGGAAGGUGGGGAUGACGUCAAGUCAUCAUGGCCCUUACGACCAGGGCUACACACGUGCUACAAUGGCGCAUACAAAGAGAAGCGACCUCGCGAGAGCAAGCGGACCUCAUAAAGUGCGUCGUAGUCCGGAUUGGAGUCUGCAACUCGACUCCAUGAAGUCGGAAUCGCUAGUAAUCGUGGAUCAGAAUGCCACGGUGAAUACGUUCCCGGGCCUUGUACACACCGCCCGUCACACCAUGGGAGUGGGUUGCAAAAGAAGUAGGUAGCUUAACCUUCGGGAGGGCGCUUACCACUUUGUGAUUCAUGACUGGGGUGAAGUCGUAACAAGGUAACCGUAGGGGAACCUGCGGUUGGAUCACCUCCUUA